rnacentral:rRNA from 1 species
UUUGAAAAAAAGUAGUUAUUGUCUUCAUAACUCAAAGAAUUUGGCGGCUAAUGAUAUUUAGAGGAAUCUGUAUUUUAAUUGAUAAACCACGUUAGGUUUUACUUUGUAUUUAUUUGUAUACCUCUAUAUAAUAUAAUGUUUUAUAAGAAUAUUUUUUUUCUAUUGAAGUUAUAAAUUUAGGUCAAGGUGCAGUUUUUUAAAAGUUAAUAUGGGUUAUUUUUUUUUAAAAAGUUUUUUUAUUGUUCUUAAAGAUUUUUUUAGGAUUUAAGAGUAAUCUGAAUUUAUUUAUUUAGUUGAAUUUU